CAGCUUGUCACUUUUCUUCUCCCUUUUUGUUUUCUAUUUUUACUUUUAUUCAAAUGCCAGGAAAACCAGCUGAUUGAAGAAGUCAUGCGGUGCUUCACACGUUUGUUACAGAGGUGCUGUGAGUGAAAAGCUUAACUAAUUUUCGAGGCUGCCAGGGCUGAAUAUCAGACAGGAGGGCAGUGCCCUGAAAGCAGUGGCUGGGCAGGUGAGAACGCAGAGCUUGAUCACGCUUUGCUGUGCCUCGGACACGAGGCCGAGCAUCCUGCAUGUGAUAAUCUCUCCGGGCUGCUGGCAAAGACAGCCAGGUGCUACUAGGAAGGACAGGUGCUCAUGUGAGACUUCCCGAAGAUUGGAGCUAUACUAACAUGGAUAUUUCCCAUAUCCAGAUGAUAAAUGCAUUUGUAGUCCUAACAGACUGAUUUUAAUGGAAUCCUCAUGAACUAUAUGGCAUCUUCUACUCUGGUACUGCCAUCUUCUUUCCUUCAAGUCCCUGUCAAAGAGAUGCCUGAAUGACUGACACUGAUAAAGUGAAAGAACAUUUUAGAAGGAAAAAAGAAGAUAUGUAAAUCUGUCUUAUAACAUCAACACACUUCACCAUGCUUGCAGACUCUUCAUAAAUCAGAUUUGAUAAUGAGGACUGAAGGCACAUGCAAUGUGAGAAGAAAGUGUGAAGUUCAUGUCUGAGAACUGAAGUGUUCUGAUAAUAAACUGAAAAUUCCUGGGUUAAUCAGAAGCUACUUUUUAAGUCUGGGUACAACUGGAGAUGCAAGGCUCAUAUCUGUCUCUUUGCAUUUGGCAUAUUUUCAAAGCUCUGAAAGUGUUUAAUGUUCCUAUUUAUAAAAUUAUUCUGAAAGUAACAGAAUUUCAGAACUAAAUACAAACUAUUAUAUGGCCCCUGGAGUAUCAUUUCAAUAAAUCAUUAGCAAAUAAUAAAAAUGCCAUGUAAUAUGCACAUACCUUUAGACAUUAAAGUUGAAUAUGCCUUUGCAUUUGUGCCUAGUUAGAAACACCAUGCUGUGGGGAAAAAGUCUGGGGAAAAAAUGAACAUUGUUUUUUUUUAAUGUUAUUUCAUUUCCCAUUACAUAGUUGCCCCACUUGCCUGUCUUUCUACCACCUGAAAACCAAAUGGAUAUUCUGGGCUAGGUUAAGUUGCAAAUGAAUUUCAUAAUCUUACACUGGAGGAGUUUCUUUGUACCAAAACUGAAGAAAUUGAGCCAGGGAAUUGAUAAGAACUUUCCAAGGUACAAUAAAUUAAUACUUUGGCUCUCUGCCUCUGUAGAGCUACAUUUGAAUCUUAAUUGCUAGUGGUCCAAGUACAGGAAAUUUUAUCAGGUCUAGCCUAGUGUAUACAGUUGCUUUAGCAUUAGGCAAUUAGAGGUACACAUGACUUUUCUUGACCAAGUCAAAGGAUAGCAAUAGGAAAGCAAAGGUUGUGAAGGAUGAGCACUACCAGUAAUGACAGAAGGACAGUGGAGUGGAAUUUUAUACUGUGCAUGCACUUCAUAUUUAUAGAGCAUUUUUUCAUUCCAACAUCUCAAAACGAUUUUAAGAGUACUUAGUUGCAAGGAGGUUAUGUUCCUGAUAAAGACAUCAGAAUGCCAACCUGCUAGGUUCAUAACUAACCCAAGGUCAUUUAUACAUGGAUAUAAAGAUCUAUGGCAUGGAAUUAUAACUUUUUAACUCUCCAGGUCAAAUUAGUUAAAACCUUGCAUUCUGAUCUCUAUACUCUCUGAACUUUGUCUUUUCUCAGUGAGAGAACCAGGGAGGGGUGGAAGUAGAACUCGCAUCUGGAGUCUUUCCUGGACAUCAACAGAGGCCUUGAGAGCUGGGGGUCAAAGGGAUUAUCUGGGGCCAUUUCUUCUUUUUUUAAAAAAUAUUUAAACCAUGUGAUGUGUUGAUAUUUAUUAGGAUAACAUUUGAUAUGGAGAAACACUCUUAAAUAAUACACUUUGACUUUAAUUGUAUUAUUAAAAAUUGGGGCUGGAAUGCUCUUUCUGACUAUUAGCCCUACUAGGAAGUUCAGCUCAAUAUUCAAUUUAAAAUUAAAGUUUCAGACCUGUGCACAAUGCUAAGCCCAUAAUAGUGAUGCAAAAUAAAUUUAUUCGAUACAAUGAUGUAGCAAGUUGAAUACAUUAUUAAUGCAAACUUCUCCAUAACAUCCCAUUUAUGCCAA